rnacentral:rRNA from 1 species
GUUAAGCAGCAAAUGUGGAGCCGCAGCGAAAGCGAGUCUGAAUAGGGCGUUGAGUAUUUGGUCGUAGACCCGAAACCAGGUGAUCUACCCUUGGUCAGGUUGAAGUUCAGGUAACACUGAAUGGAGGACCGAACCGACUUACGUUGAAAAGUGAGCGGAUGAACUGAGGGUAGCGGAGAAAUUCCAAUCGAACUUGGAGAUAGCUGGUUCUCUCCGAAAUAGCUUUAGGGCUAGCCUCAAGUGAUGAUUAUUGGAGGUAGAGCACUGUUUGGACGAGGGGCCCCUCUCGGGUUACCGAAUUCAGACAAACUCCGAAUGCCAAUUAAUUUAACUUGGGAGUCAGAACAUGGGUGAUAAGGUCCGUGUUCGAAAGGGAAACAGCCCAGACCACCAGCUAAGGUCCCAAAAUAUAUGUUAAGUGGAAAAGGAUGUGGCGUUGCCCAGACAACUAGGAUGUUGGCUUAGAAGCAGCCAUCAUUUAAAGAGUGCGUAAUAGCUCACUAGUCGAGUGACACUGCGCCGAAAAUGUACCGGGGCUAAACAUAUUACCGAAGCUGUGGAUUGUCCUUUGGACAAUGGUAGGAGAGCGUUCUAAGGGCGUCGAAGCAUGAUCGCAAGGACAUGUGGAGCGCUUAGAAGUGAGAAUGCCGGUGUGAGUAGCGAAAGACGGGUGAGAAUCCCGUCCACCGAUUGACUAAGGUUUCCAGAGGAAGGCUCGUCCGCUCUGGGUUAGUCGGGUCCUAAGCUGAGGCCGACAGGCGUAGGCGAUGGAUAACAGGUUGAUAUUCCUGUACCACCUAGUAUCGUUUUAAUCGAUGGGGGGACGCAGUAGGAUAGGCGAAGCGUGCUGUUGGAGUGCACGUCCAAGCAGUAAGGCUGAGUGUUAGGCAAAUCCGGCACUCAUAAGGCUGAGCUGUGAUGGGGAGAGGAAAUUGUUUCCUCGAGUCGUUGAUUUCACACUGCCGAGAAAAGCCUCUAGAUAGAUAACAGGUGCCCGUACCGCAAACCGACACAGGUAGUCAAGAUGAGAAUUCUAAGGUGAGCGAGCGAACUCUCGUUAAGGAACUCGGCAAAAUGACCCCGUAACUUCGGGAGAAGGGGUGCUCUUUAGGGUUCACGCCCAGAAGAGCCGCAGUGAAUAGGCCCAAGCGACUGUUUAUCAAAAACACAGGUCUCUGCUAAACCGUAAGGUGAUGUAUAGGGGCUGACGCCUGCCCGGUGCUGGAAGGUUAAGAGGAGUGGUUAGCUUCUGCGAAGCUACGAAU